rnacentral:ncRNA from 1 species
CAAAGGUUUGGUCCUGACUUUACUAUCAGCUUUAGCCUAAUUCAUACAUGCAAGUAUCCGCACCCCCGUGAGAAUGCCCUCAAUCCCCCUACCGGGGACGAGGAGCAGGCAUCAGGCACACAUCAGUUGGCCCAAGACGCCUUGCUUUGCCACACCCCCAAGGGAAUUCAGCAGUAGUAAAUAUUAAGCCAUAAGUGAAAACUUGACUUAGUUAAGGUUAAAAGAGUCGGUAAAAUUCGUGCCAGCCACCGCGGUUAUACGAAAGACUCCAGUUGAUAAAUACGGCGUAAAGGGUGGUUAGGGUAAUAAAAAAAUAAAGCUAAAGACUUACCAAGCCGUCAUACGCCUAUGGAAGAACGAAAGCCACAAACGAAAGUAACUUUAUCAUAAUAUCCGAACCCACGAAAGCUAAGAAACAAACUGGGAUUAGAUACCCCACUAUGCUUAGCCCUAAACCAAGGUAUUAAUAUACAAAAAUACCCGCCAGGGUACUACGAGCAUAGCUUAAAACCCAAAGGACUUGGCGGUGUCUCAGACCCACCUAGAGGAGCCUGUUCUAGAACCGAUAAUCCCCGUUAAACCUCACCACUUCUUGUUAAUCCCGCCUAUAUACCGCCGUCGCCAGCUUACCCCAUGAGGGUUGAACAGUAAGCAAAAUGGACAAACCCCAAAACGUCAGGUCGAGGUGUAGCGCACGAAGUGGGAAGAAAUGGGCUACAUUUUCUACAACAGAAAAUAACGAAUGGUCUACUGAAACACACACCUGAAGGAGGAUUUAGCAGUAAAAAGCAAAUAGAGAGUCCUUUUGAAUCAGGCUCUGAGACACGCACACACCGCCCGUCACUCUCCCCCACAUAAACCAAACAAUAAAUAAUACAUCAAUAAAUACAUCGGGGAGGCAAGUCGUAACAUGGUAAGUGUACCGGAAGGUGCACUUGGAACAAU